rnacentral:rRNA from 1 species
AAGCUCGUAGUUGAAUUUCGGGCCGGGCACUUUGGUCUGCCCUUUGGGUAAGUACUAAAGUUGCUCGGCCUUUCCUUCUGGGAACCAGUGGCAACACUGGCGCUCCAGGACUUUUACUUUGAAAAACUAGAGUGUUUAAAGCAGGCUUUCGCUUGAAUACAUUAGCAUGGAAUAAUAGAAUAGGACUUUGGUUCUAUUUUGUUGGUUUUGAGGACCAAAGUAAUGAUUAAAGGGAUAGUUGGG